UUUCAGUUCACCAUGUUUCGUUCUCGAGUUUUCCACCUGUUUCUGGUCGUGUUCCCAACUUCUCUGCUCCCUGUGUGUCAAGGUGAGGCUGCAUGAAACCCUGGAGGACGGACAAUGACGGUCUGGAGUCAGUCAAGCAGCGACGUGUGUGGCAGAUUUGCAGCAGCAAAGGUGCACACACCUGCUGUCACCCGCGUUCCCAACGUAUAGUUUCCCGAGCAGGUAGACGACGCUGAGGGCCGUACAUCCUCCUGUGACGUGGCGUUCUCUAUGGCUCCGAUCACCAGACUCUCGUGCUGAACCUUUUUCUCCGAGAAAAAG